rnacentral:rRNA from 1 species
UACGAAGGGAGCUAGCGUUACUCGGAAUCAUUGGGCGUAAAGCGUGCGUAGGCGGCUUUAUAAGUCGGAAGUGAAAGCCUGGGGCUCAACCCCAGAAUUGCUUUCGAUACUGUAGAGCUAGAAUACCAGAGGGGAUGGCGGAAUUCCUAGUGUAGAGGUGAAAUUCGUAGAUAUUAGGAGGAACACCGGCGGCGAAGGCGGCCAUCUGGCUGGUUAUUGACGCUGUUGCACGAAAGCGUGGGGAGCAAACAGG